AAUAUUGGACAAUGGGCGCAAGCCUGAUCCAGCCAUGCCGCGUGAGUGAUGAAGGCCUUAGGGUUGUCAAGCUCUUUCACCGGUGCAGAUAAUGACGGUAACCGGAGAAGAAGCCCCGGCUACCUUCGGGCCAGCAUCCGCGGUAAUACGAAGGGGGCUAGCGUUGUUCGGAAUUACAGGGCGUAAAGCGCACGUAGGCGGACAUUUAAGUCAGGGGUGAAAUCCCGGGGCUCAACCCCGGAACUGCCUUUGAUACUGGGUGUCUGGAGUCCGGAAGAGGUGAGUGGAAUUCCGAGUGUAGAGGUGAAAUUCGUAGAUAUUCGGAGGAACACCAGUGGCGAAGGCGGCUCACUGGUCCGGUACUGACGCUGAGGUGCGAAAGCGUGGGGAGCAAAC
rnacentral:rRNA from 1 species